CCUUGCUUUACUUGGCUCGGCUUGGCCUCUCCCCCCCCUUUGUUUAUUCAUCGUCUUUCAAACUCUAACGUUUCUCUCGUGGCUGUUUCUUUUUGGGGGUUCAGGUUCCUUUUUGGUAUGUGCCGUUCAGAUCUCCAAAUCUGGUGAGUUUCAUUUUGUUUCAUGUGUCUCCUGGAGUGAUAUCUCUAAAUUUGAUAUCUUGUAUCCUGGUUCUUGAUUGAUUUUUCCCAAUUUGGACAUAUUUUGGGUCUUGGAUUUGGGUAUAUUUUCCCCUACAAAUUUGAGUGAGAGUAUUUUCAUUAAGGAACAAAAUUGUUUGUUUCUUUUUUUCUUUCCUUUGUUGGUUUGGAACUUUUGGAUAAUGAGAGAAACGGUAAGAAAAGUUUGUUUCGGUUUUAAAAAAAUGUGCCAACUGCUGAGUUUUCUUGAGUUACUUAAAUCGUUAUGUUGUCGUUGUUUGGGGUUUUAGAAAUGAACCAAACAAGAUCUCAAUGGCCUUUUUACUGUUAAUGUGUCUCAUUUUGCGGUCGAUUUAUUGAAAUAAUUGAGAUUUCUUUGCAUUUUGAUUGAUUUAUUAAAUUAAUUAAAUUUCUGCGUUACCUUUCGGAAAACAAAAAUAAAUUUUGUUUUUAUCGUUUCUUUGCUUAAAAUUUAUGCAAUCAAUAUGGAAAGAUAGUUAAUGGGCGGGUUUCUUGAGUCAGUUGCUAAUACUAUAUUAAUGCUUAGGAAAUUUUUAUGAGGAAGAAAGACCAAGUAUACGUUAGAUUCUCCUUAUUAUGAAGAAUUAAUAAAAUAGCCCCGAUUUUGUCAGAAAUUUAGAGCUAUCCAUUUAGAAUCAUUUACUUCAAGAUUUGUCUCGUUUGCGAUAUGCAUAAAUUAAUUCUGAUUUCAGAUUUAGUAACUCCCGCAGAAGUUUAUUGUUCUUAGAUAUUCUGAAGGAUCUUCUUGUAAGAUACAAGACUGGGUCUUUUGGUGUUUUGAGUCCAUAUCUUUUUCUUUUCUUGCAGAUUGUCUUCUCCUGCGGAUAAGGCCUCAAAAGAUGGGUUGCUCAAUGUAGCUCAAGAAUAAGUUUAUGUUGCUUUCUCAUUCUGUGUAGAGGUUUCCGAUUCUUGCACUUUGGCUUGUUUGGUCUUUUAGUUCUUUGUUUGAUGAUCGUUCUUGGUUUGUGUUUCUUUCUCGUUAUACUGCUGUUGGCUUGGGAUUUUGGCGCUUUAUUGGCAGGGAAGAAGCUCUCUUCCACUGCUGCCUCUGUCGCCAGCCAAAAAAGCCAUUUUGAUAUCCUUUUUCAUGUCUCAUAAAUUGGAAAGUCCUGUUCAAACCCAGAUGGCAGUGACAGUGUUUAAGAGUGCUUUACNNNNN
rnacentral:lncRNA from 1 species